rnacentral:tRNA from 1 species
GGGAAAGUGGCUCAGUGGUAGAGCGCUUGCCUUGCAUGCAUGAGGUCCUGGGUUCAAUUCCUCAGCACCA